UAUGGAGAGUUUGAUCCUGGCUCAGAGUGAACGCUGGCGGCGUGCCUAAUACAUGCAAGUCGAACGAUGAAGCUUUCUAGCUUGCUAGAAUGCUGAUUAGUGGCGCACGGGUGAGUAACGCAUAGGUCAUGUGCCUUUUAGUUUGGGAUAGCCAUUGGAAACGAUGAUUAAUACCAGAUACUCCCUACGGGGGAAAGAUUUAUCGCUAAGAGAUCAGCCUAUGUCCUAUCAGCUUGUUGGUAAGGUAAUGGCUUACCAAGGCUAUGACGGGUAUCCGGCCUGAGAGGGUGAACGGACACACUGGAACUGAGACACGGUCCAGACUCCUACGGGAGGCAGCAGUAGGGAAUAUUGCUCAAUGGGGGAAACCCUGAAGCAGCAACGCCGCGUGGAGGAUGAAGGUUUUAGGAUUGUAAACUCCUUUUGUUAGAGAAGAUAAUGACGGUAUCUAACGAAUAAGCACCGGCUAACUCCGUGCCAGCAGCCGCGGUAAUACGGAGGGUGCAAGCGUUACUCGGAAUCACUGGGCGUAAAGAGCGCGUAGGCGGGAUAGUCAGUCAGGUGUGAAAUCCUAUGGCUUAACCAUAGAACUGCAUUUGAAACUACUAUUCUAGAGUGUGGGAGAGGUAGGUGGAAUUCUUGGUGUAGGGGUAAAAUCCGUAGAGAUCAAGAGGAAUACUCAUUGCGAAGGCGACCUGCUGGAACAUUACUGACGCUGAUUGCGCGAAAGCGUGGGGAGCAAACAGGAUUAGAUACCCUGGUAGUCCACGCCCUAAACGAUGGAUGCUAGUUGUUGGAGGGCUUAGUCUCUCCAGUAAUGCAGCUAACGCAUUAAGCAUCCCGCCUGGGGAGUACGGUCGCAAGAUUAAAACUCAAAGGAAUAGACGGGGACCCGCACAAGCGGUGGAGCAUGUGGUUUAAUUCGAAGAUACACGAAGAACCUUACCUAGGCUUGACAUUGAGAGAAUCCGCUAGAAAUAGUGGAGUGUCUGGCUUGCCAGACCUUGAAAACAGGUGCUGCACGGCUGUCGUCAGCUCGUGUCGUGAGAUGUUGGGUUAAGUCCCGCAACGAGCGCAACCCCCUUUCUUAGUUGCUAACAGGUUAUGCUGAGAACUCUAAGGAUACUGCCUCCGUAAGGAGGAGGAAGGUGGGGACGACGUCAAGUCAUCAUGGCCCUUACGCCUAGGGCUACACACGUGCUACAAUGGGGUGCACAAAGAGAAGCAAUACUGCGAAGUGGAGCCAAUCUUCAAAACACCUCUCAGUUCGGAUUGUAGGCUGCAACUCGCCUGCAUGAAGCUGGAAUCGCUAGUAAUCGCAAAUCAGCCAUGUUGCGGUGAAUACGUUCCCGGGUCUUGUACUCACCGCCCGUCACACCAUGGGAGUUGUGUUUGCCUUAAGUCAGGAUGCUAAAUUGGCUACUGCCCACGGCACACACAGCGACUGGGGUGAAGUCGUAACAAGGUAACCGUAGGUGAACCUGCGGUUGGAUCACCUCCUU
rnacentral:rRNA from 1 species